AGAACGAACGCUGGCGGCAGGCCUAACACAUGCAAGUCGAACGCCGUAGCAAUACGGAGUGGCAGACGGGUGAGUAACGCGUGGGAACAUACCCUUCGGUUCGGAAUAACUCAGGGAAACUUGAGCUAAUACCGGAUACGUCCGAGGUUUUAAUCGACCUUGGAGAAAGAUUUAUCGCCGGAGGAUUGGCCCGCGUCUGAUUAGCUUGUUGGUGAGGUAAUGGCUCACCAAGGCGACGAUCAGUAGCUGGUCUGAGAGGAUGAUCAGCCACAUUGGGACUGAGACACGGCCCAAACUCCUACGGGAGGCAGCAGUGGGGAAUAUUGGACAAUGGGCGAAAGCCUGAUCCAGCCAUGCCGCGUGAGUGAUGAAGGCCUUAGGGUUGUAAAGCUCUUUACCGGGAAGAUAAUGACGGUACCGGGAGAAUAAGCCCCGGCUAACUUCGUGCCAGCAGCCGC
rnacentral:rRNA from 1 species